UACGUAGGGUGCAAGCGUUAAUCGGAAUUACUGGGCGUAAAGCGUGCUCAGGCGGUUUUGUAAGUCUGACGUGAAAUCCCCGGGCUCAACCUGGGAAUUGCGUUGGAGACUGCAAGGCUAGAAUCUGGCAGAGGGGGGUAGAAUUCCACGUGUAGCAGUGAAAUGCGUAGAGAUGUGGAGGAACACCGAUGGCGAAGGCAGCCCCCUGGGUCAAGAUUGACGCUCAUGCACGAAAGCGUGGGGAGCAAACAGG
rnacentral:rRNA from 1 species